rnacentral:rRNA from 1 species
UACGAAGGGGGCUAGCGUUGCUCGGAAUUACUGGGCGUAAAGGGCGCGUAGGCGGACAGUUUAGUCAGAGGUGAAAGCCCAGGGCUCAACCUUGGAAAUGCCUUUGAUACUGGCUGUCUUGAGUUCGGGAGAGGUGUGUGGAACGCCGAGUGUAGAGGUGAAAUUCGUAGAUAUUCGGCAGAACACCAGUGGCGAAGGCGACACACUGGCCCGAUACUGACGCUGAGGCGACGAAAGCGUGGGGAGCAAACAGGG